rnacentral:rRNA from 1 species
UUGCAACGCGUGGCCGGCUGCGGCGGUAAGACGGGGGGUGGAAGCGUUAUCCGGAUUGACGGGGUUUAAAGGGUGUGUAGGCGUGUAUUUAAGUCCGAGGUGAAAUCUCUGAGCUCAACUCAGAAACUGCCUUGGAUACUAUUUAUCUUGAAUAUCGUUGAGGUAGGCGGAAUAUGUCAUGUAGCGGUGAAAUGCAUAGAUAUGACAUAGAACACCAAUUGCGAAGGCAGCUUGCUAAACGAUGAUUGACGCUGAGGCACGAAAGCGUGGGGAUCAAACAGGAUUAGAUACCCUAGUAGUC